rnacentral:rRNA from 1 species
UGGGGAAUAUUGGACAAUGGGCGCAAGCCUGAUCCAGCAAUGCCGCGUGAGUGAUGAAGGCCCUCGGGUCGUAAAGCUCUUUUACCAGGGAUGAUAAUGACAGUACCUGGAGAAUAAGCUCCGGCUAACUCCGUGCCAGCAGCCGCGGUAAUACGGAGGGAGCUAGCGUUGUUUGGAAUUACUGGGCGUAAAGCGCACGUAGGCGGCUACUCAAGUCAGAGGUGAAAGCCCGGGGCUCAACCCCGGAACUGCCUUUGAAACUAGGUAGCUAGAAUCUUGGAGAGGCGAGUGGAAUUCCGAGUGUAGAGGUGAAAUUCGUAGAUAUUCGGAAGAACACCAGUGGCGAAGGCGACUCGCUGGACAAGUAUUGACGCUGAGGUGCGAAAGCGUGGGGAGCAAACA